AGGACCCGGGAGCCGCCGCCGGCCUCCCCGCGGCAGCCACUCGGGGUGGAGGCUGCGCGCCUGCGCCUCUCCUCUGCUGCCUCCAGCGGGAGGCCGCGCCGGGCUCCGCCGCUCGGGGGGCGCCGGGGCUGUGGCAGCAUGCUGCUGUGCCACACGUUAGUAUGAGCUGCACAAUAAGCAGAAGUAAAACCUCCACAUCCUGCAGGUCAUUUAAAUUGGAUUCUGUAUGAAGAGUCAUCUGCAAGGUGGGUGCUGCCACUAAGAGUCUCUGGCCUGCCAUGCCCUCUGCCUUCCCUUUUGACUGUUUGCUCUGGCUCAAAAGAUUCUGUCGUUAAGAGCAUCCAGGGACUUACCCUGACUUGUAGCACUGAAGUAACCAGAAGACAAGUAGCAGAUGCAGUUUGUUUAGCAAAAAAAAAAAAAAAACACAAGGGGUAUGGCUAUGCACUUUUUUGUGCUGGAGAGGAUGGUGCAACUGCCUUAGCUUCUUUCAGAAAGCUGACCUGAAAAUUUCAAAAGAAAUACAAGAAAGAAAUCUGCUCUUUGCUCCUGUUGGAAUAAUGCUCACAAGAUUAAUGACCACUAUUGGAGACUAUUAUAAGGCCUUUUCUUUAAAUGUUUACUUCUCAAAACCACAGGAAUAGGCUUUAAAAUUUGUUAACAUUUUAUUUUGAACUUCAUUUGCUACCACCUGUUAUCAGAGGAGGAGUGUAUGUUUGUGGAGGUCUCUCUCAUCCUUUAAUUGCACAACAGGACAAUGCGUAAUAGGUACAGUACCCUUUCGUAUUUCAAAGUGGCUUGGGGAAAAGAAAGGUUUAGAAAUCUUGCAUCUGUUCAGAGAAUGUGCUGUAAACAAUUCAAAUGUCAUAAAAUCUCUCCCUUAUAAAAUGAUUCAUGUAACCUGUCUGGACAGUGGUUGCAGCUAGGAAAAGGAAUGGAACCUUUACUUCCUUAAAGCUACAUAUAAGUUGAGUUAAUUAUACAUAUAAGAGAAAAAUUGUUUUUUUUCUGUCUUCCCUUAAAGCUCUUGGCUCUUACCAAAACCUUGAGCAAGCAGCUCUUAGGCAGAGCACGCUGCUUUUCACGUUGACCACCACCCUCUAGCUGCUUCCCAUCUGUUGUUUGUAAACACCUCAUGUCUUGUGCUGCUGAUGUUGUUAGCUCCUUGCAAAACAAGCUCUAUUUUCUUAUGUUUGCACACUGCUUCAAAGCAGCAGGAAAACUGGCCAGGACUGAAUCCUAUGCAAUGCCAGAAUAUAUUUUUUUUCUUGCUGGGGAUUUCAAUUAGUGAAACUUACCGGAGAUAAACAAACAAUUAUGUUGCAAGCUACAGGACAACAUGCCACAUAUGUACACAGAGAAUGUGUUCAGGUACCUUGCCUAUGUGGGAGAACAACAGGAUGAGCGAGAGAGACCAAAGGAGAAAGCUGGGCUGAGCUUCUAAGAGAGAGGACAGAAGGUGUUAGAGGACCUAGGCAGAAAGUACACUGAUAAAAAUCGCAGGAAGUAUUUUUGGCUCAUUCCUCUGCAGAGCUAGCUGAAGUUCCUCUGGCACUGCUCAGUCCCUAGAAUACCUUUCUUUUCCUUACCAAAGAAAAGCUUAGGGAGAAAGAUUAAUAUCUGAACCCUAAUAACUGCCGCAGAGGAAGAAUCACUCCCUUCACAAUUUUCAGUCUGAGGAACAGAAGGGUUGUUCUGUGCUGCCGUGGCUUCCAAAUGUGGUUCAGUAAGUAUUCCUCCAUUUAAGAAAACAGCCAGUGGACUUGCUUCACUUCAGGGAAAUGACUGUCCUCAACCUUCUGCUCUUUCAAUCAUUGCAUCCUGCUGUGCUUUCUCUACAUACAAGGUGGGAUGGAAGUCUGUCUGGUACUUGCUCAUCCAUGUGAAAAUGGGAUUCUUCUGAAUCAUAGCCCUUCUUUGCAACGUCCUUUAAAAGUAUUGGGCAAAAUUUUGAUUCUUACUCAGGCCCUAUUAUACAAACUCAUGUUGUCUUUAUGAGACUUUUAGUAGACAAAACACGACAAAGUAUCUAUAUCCAACAUUGCGUCAUGGUAAUCUGGAGAUAACUAGCUGUAGAACUGUUGUUCCCAUUUAAAAAAAAAAUAAAAAUUAACCUUUGUUUGCUUAUAAUGUCUGGUUUGCACUACUUUGAAGAUUCUCAGUAUUUAAUUAAGAUUUAAAAGAUACGUGUGAUAUAUUACUUGCUAAACACUUUUUAUCAGAAGAAAUGCUAUUACUUAUAUAUUUUCUAUCUUGUGGGCACAAAGCCACAAGGAGAUAGAAUCAAGAUUUGUUUUAGACACAGUGAUGAUUACAAAAAAAUAUCUCCCACAUCCUAAAGUAGGUAAAGUUUCUAAUUUAUUUAUUUUUCUAUUGACAGAAGUCCAAGAUGAUUCAUCUCUCCAUUUACACCUGCAAAAUGCACAAGAGACUUAUAACUAAGACAUCGCCUGAAGAAAGUUAAUAAGGUUGUUAGUAGUCUGCAUCGCUAAUGAAAAGUCUAUGGAUGAUUCUAGUCUUUUCCUUCAGGUCUUGAUGAAACCUGCAAAUGUCAGAAAGUUGAUUUUUCUGAAGGACCAGCAGCUAUAAGUAAAAAAGAAGAGAAAAAUGGAGAAAAAAAAAUAGAGAAAGACACUGACAAGAACUGCUACUGCUUGUGACUAAUCCGUUGCAAGCUUACAUGUACAGUUGCUUGCAUCUUAAUGGAUCUUUUAACCUAAUUUACUGAGUCUAUUUCUUUUUAAUUAACUUUCAUAAAAGUUCAGGUGUUUUUUCAUGAAGUACACAAAGAUCAGCUAAGAAAGCUAUUAUCAUCUACAGUAGCAAUACAGCAAUGUGGAAUUCAGUUUUUUUUGAUUAAAAAUAGAUGCAUAAAUCAAAAGAAAUAAACCUGAAGUGUCUCACACCCUUUUACACUGUCCUCACUUUUCAGUGACAGUUAAAGAAUGAUAUAAAGAAUUCCUUUUUGUGUUUGCCUGUUCGACAUGACCAGUGCAAAUAAAUCACAUAGGCUUAGGAAGACAGGCAAUUAUCUAUCAGCAGGCUCAUUCAUUUCUAGUCUGUAGGUGGAUGUAGUUUCAAACAGAAAGAAAAUGGCUUUCCGAAAAUCCACAUGCACCUGUUAAUUGUGAGAGAAGCAUAUAUAAUGCUCCAUGUAAAACUGAGAAUGCUACAUUUCAAUAAAAACUGUGAUUUCUCUGUCAGAAAUGCUAUGCACAUUCAGGUUGAAUUAUGCAGCAUACUACUUCUCAAGAUGGUUGUACAUCCUGAUCGAUCAGGUCAAGAGUUACGCAUUACCUAGAGCACACAUCAAGUGGAAUGAUGCUGCAAGAAUAUUUACAUUUUCAAAGCAUUCUGCAUUUUCAAUGACAGCUGAAUGAACCAUCCCUUAAAAAAAAAAGGGAAGGAAAACAAUGAUACUUCAUUAAAUUAAUGAACCUGUUCAAAAGUAUGGAAUGAACAUCUAGCAAAUUAUAAUGAUCAUAGAACUUGCAACAGUAGGUGGUGGGGAAAAAAAAGACUACUGCUAUCCUGUUUUGGAAAUUACUAUGACAGGGAACUAGGUUCCAUUCCAUUUAAAGAUUUCUUCAUGCAAAUUGCAUGAGGCAUUUUCUAAAAAUUGAGUGGAUUUCCAUAAUGGAAUUUUGGCAAAUUAAAUCAAAACAGGUUGCUAUGACAGUUCUUACAAAUAUUUCUAUUUUAGCUUUAUUUUGUAUUAUAAAUAUGUCAAGAUGAAGUCAUUCUUGUCAAAACAAAGUUAUCUUUCCUUUUGGGAAAAAUGUCCAGGCCUUUUCUCAAUGCUCUAAUUUUCCAUAUUCAUCAAAGUCAAGAUGAGGGCUAAUUUCAAAUGCUUUAACAUACAUCUGCAUAAUCAUAAACCCACAUAAACAUAGCUUUAGUCUUAUAAAUGAGCGAUUUCAUUACAUACAGUAUUGUUAGCUUAACUGACUUUCCUUACUGCUCUGUGUAAGAAGUGACUGAAAAAUAAAGGAUAUUUAACAUUGA